rfam:Cucumis melo, WGS project CAJI01000000 data, contig: 07675
GAGAUUUGAUGAGGUUUUUAUAUUGGUCCGUGUUUCUGAUUAAACCAUGACUGUUUUCAACUCCUAAUAUGCCUCUGAUCUC